CCAAUAUACCAGAAUAGUGCAAAGGAUAAUAACGCAUAAAAAGAAUAAAAAAAAAAUCCAUUAUAUAUAUAAUACCUACCUGCAACACUCAUGCUAUUUAUAUCUGUAAAACUUAGCUUUUUCUCAUCGUUUAUACCAUUAGGUGUUUACUAUUUUGCACUUGUAUCGUCUGUUAGAGUUAGGUAUCAAGUGUUGUUUGUUUAAACUAUAGCAAAUUUAAACUUAGAGGCCGUUACUUUAAGUAAAUUCCAUAAGCUUUAGGCGAGGGUAUAAACCCUUUAUCGUUACUCAUGUCAGCAUUAUCACUUGGGUAAUCUAAUCUUAAGUCUUAAAAAGAAAAAAUCUGAGAUAUGCCCAAUGUUCCGCUACCCCAUAUAUAUUCUAUGUAACUUGUACAUAUAAAUAUUUAUGGACAAGGUCUCGGUAUAUUAUUUAGAUCCGCUAAAUCUUAGGUGCAUCUAACAAUACAUACAAAAUUGUAUAAAACCAGUGCUCUGUUACGAGGUCUUUAAAAAAUGGCCGCUCCUAAGCCCAUUUCCUGGUUGGCUUGGAUAAACACUACCUUAUUUUCACUUAACAAUAAUUUUGGAACC
rnacentral:rRNA from 1 species